GUACUGAUGAAGAGUCCCAGGCAACAGGACAAAACAGCUGUCGAGUAC
rnacentral:hammerhead_ribozyme from 1 species